UACGGUCAUAUCAUUUUAAACACCGAUGCCCAUACGAACAUUGAAGUUAAGCAAUCUUGAACCUAGUCAGUACGUAGAUGAAUGACCGCUUGGGAAUACCAGGUUCUGUAA